UUCUCACUAUUCACUUUUCCUGUCAAAAUAAAAAGGUAAUUCGUAUGGGGUUAGUGUGGGGCCAGCUAAAUGGGUAAAUGGAGAAUUGACAGAGAGCAUUGUAAUUUGUAAGCACAAGACUACCAUUAAUACGCUCAAGGAAUUCAAAGAAAUCAAUUGGUAAAAACUUUGGUUGGAGUUAUUGGGAAAUGAUUUAUGACUGAGAUGCGAGAGUUUUUCAAUAUCAAUUCUGGUGCUUGAGUCAAGAUGAUGAUUUGUCAAAAAGAGGUAAAGGCUAGAGGCUCCAAAGCUUAUCUGCCGAAGAAAGGUUCUGCUGCUUAUGCGUUGUUGAUUUCCUUACAUAGGGCGGCUGCUGAUGGAACUGAAUUUAUGCGUAAGCAAGAGCUGAUUGAUGCAGCUGAAGCAAGUGGUCUCUCACAAGUGUCUAUAGCGCCAGAAAAGAGAACAGGUAAACCAAGGCAAUUUGGAGGUCCCCCCAAAAAUCUUUAUAGCAGAUGGAGUUCAAUGAAGACAUUGAUUGACAAUAAUCUUGUUUCUAAGACAAGGUGUCCUGCAAAAUAUAUGCUAUCUGAUAAAGGUCGUGAUUUAGCGCUAGAUUGUUUAUCCAGAUCUGGUAUUCUUGAUUCUACUCCUGAUGCUGGCGGCAGGGAAGAAACUUCUGAAUCAGACAAGCCAGAUAUAGAAAUUAUGGAAUUUGUUGCUGUUGGUUCACCUGAAUCUUCAUAUAUGAACAAAAAGAAGCGCAUGAAGGAUGAUAUUCCUGUUGAGUAUCUAGACAGGGAUUAUCAUUUAAAAGAGGCAAGUCAAUCUUUUUGCAAUACCAGUCAGGAUGUUCUUAGAAUACCACCUCUUGAAGAUUUGCAGAACCUUGAAGAUGAAUAUAAAGUCGUCUUGAUAGUGGAUGAUCGAGAAGGCUUUGUCAGGAGAAAGCCGACUUCGACAAAAGAGCUCAUAAAAGAGAUUUGUCAAAGAUUUAAAAUUGAAGUAGAGGUCAAACGUUUACCAGUAGGAGAUGCAAUCUGGAUUGCACGUCAUAAGCAACUUUCCAAUGACUAUGUUCUUGAUUUCAUUGUUGAGAGGAAAGAUGUUGAAGAUCUACAUCACUCGAUAAGAAACAACCGCUACAAGACACAGAAGCUGAGACUUCAGAUACUAAAGGAGUAGAAUAAGGAUGGCAGCGUGGUGUCACAUGUUGACAUUUUCCCGAUGCUAAGGCUCAGCGUGUCCCAUAUGAGGCAACUCCCAUUAGCGGCUUGUAUGCCUUUACGGAUGCAUGUAUCUUGGUGCAGGUUAGUAUUAUUACGUGUUGUUUCCUCUACUAUUGUUGUGUUUGAUGCUUGUUGUGCAUAUGGGGUAGGCUGGUCUAGAUCAAGCCUCGGGGAUUCAGGCGCCGCGCGGGCGGUCAAUAGGCCCGUUCGUGACAUGUGGUAUCAAAGCCGUCUCAACAUCGUCAAUUGGAGAAGGUUCCUACACCAUCAAGAAACCACCAGUGGGAAUUGUGGCCCCCCGUCACGACUCGGUCUGGCGCGAGUAUAAAGGGCAUCAAAUCAACGUGGGUGGUGCGCUAACCGUGGGAGUAGGCGAACGAGCUCGAGGAGGAGCGCCCCCGAUGGACCCAGGGGUAUGUCGUGACUACUACAUGGCAGAACUUAUUAUUGAAGGGGGCAUGUUAAGCGAUCAGGGAAAAAUGGGUGCAACAAGCGAGGUGUCUAAAGAGGAGAUAUGUUGUGGUACUAAGGAGUGGGAUUUGUUGUGCUAGCAUCCUUGCUGAUCGUUGGGCGAGCGCGGUGGAUGCAUGUCACUUGUGUUGUACGAGAGCAGCAUGGGUGACAUGUGCGCUGGGAAGCGACGAGCGGCGAGCCUAGGAGCGCCACACGAGGGAGUUUGUGGCUUAGGUGGUAGAGCUUGACAUUUUCCCGAUGCUAAGGCCCAGCGUGACCCAUAUGAGGCAACUCCCAUUAGCAUGUAUGCCAUUACUGAUGCAUGUAUCUUGGUGCAGGUUAGUAUCAUUACGUGUUGUUUCCUCUACUAUUGUUGUGUUCGAUGCUUGUUGCCCAUAUGGGGUAGGCUGGCCUGGUUCAAGCUUCGGGGAUUCAGGCGCCGCGCAGGCGGUCAAAAGGCCCGUCCUUGACAGUGGGCUCAUCUGUAUAAUUUUUUUUCCCUCUAAUAUCUUCCAUUAAAUUUGUCAUAUAACAUUUCUUGAAUAUUUUUUCCGGAAACCGGAGAGACAAAUUUUGGUUGGUAUUAGGCAUUCAACCUGUCGGAACUUUUCUUUAUCAGAGGUGUUUUAUACCUUGGUCUAGUCUAAAUGGUGGUACUUCUUUUGUGAAGAACUGGAAUCAAGAAGAUUAUGUACGUGGUGGAAGGUGAUCCAAAUACUUGCAACGGAGCUGAUAGCAUUAAAACCGCAAUGAGGAUACUCCUGCUCAGGAGAAGUUGCUGAUGAAGAAAAGCGAGGGUGAUGUCAAUGCAGUUGCUAGUAAAAAUAUCUUCCGCUUUGUUUGGGCAGAUUAGUGAAUGUUAGCUUUGUAAUUGUGUUGUACUUGUAUUUAGGAAGGGAAGAGUUGGAAGAGUAGCUCUCAAUCUGUAUGAUUAAGAAAGAACCACAAGAAUCAUGUACUGUAAGGAGCAUUGUACUUGUAUUGUAGGUGUUGUAAUUUGAAACAGUGUAUUUCAUUUGAAAUGGAACAAGAGGCAGAAAAUAUAAUCCAUCCUUGGUUAA